AGUGAACGCUGGCGGUAGGCCUAACACAUGCAAGUCGAACGGCAGCACAGUAAGAGCUUGCUCUUACGGGUGGCGAGUGGCGGACGGGUGAGGAAUGCAUCGGAAUCUACUUUUUCGUGGGGGAUAACGUAGGGAAACUUACGCUAAUACCGCAUACGACCUACGGGUGAAAGCAGGGGAUCUUCGGACCUUGCGCGAUUGAAUGAGCCGAUGUCGGAUUAGCUAGUUGGCGGGGUAAAGGCCCACCAAGGCGACGAUCCGUAGCUGGUCUGAGAGGAUGAUCAGCCACACUGGAACGGAGACACGGUCCAGACUCCUACGGGAGGCAGCAGUGGGGAAUAUUGGACAAUGGGCGCAAGCCUGAUCCAGCCAUACCGCGUGGGUGAAGAAGGCCUUCGGGUUGUAAAGCCCUUUUGUUGGGAAAGAAAAGCAGCAGGUUAAUACCCCGCUGUUCUGACGGUACCCAAAGAAUAAGCACCGGCUAACUUCGUG
rnacentral:rRNA from 1 species